rnacentral:rRNA from 1 species
UGAAUACGAGACGCUACGGCGUCGAAGCAGUCUAUGUCAUACUUCCAAGAAAAGCUCGCAAUGUCAUAAACAAAUAAUGCCUGUACCAUAACCGACACAGGUGGGUAGGUAGAGUAUACUAAGGGGCGCGAGAUAACUCUCUCUAAGGAACUCGGCAAAAUGACUCCGUAACUUCGGGAGAAGGAGUGCCUUAUUUAUAAGGUUGCAAUAACAAGAUCCAAGCAACUGUUUAUCAAAAACACAGGUCUCCGCUAAGUCGUAAGACGAUGUAUGGGGGCUGACGCCUGCCCAGUGCCAGAAGGUUAAAGAAGUUGGUUAGCAUUCGCGAAGCUGAUAACUGAAGCCCUGGUGAACGGCGGCCGUAACAAUAACGGUCCUAAGGUAGCGAAAUUCCUUGUCGGGUAAGUUCCGACCCGCACGAAAGGCGUAAUGAUUUGGAUACUGUCUCGGAGAGGGGCUCGGUGAAAUAGACUUGUCUGUGAAGAUGCGGACUACCUGCACCUGGACAGAAAGACCCUAUGAAGCUUUACUGUAACUUGAAAUUGAAAUUGGACUUUAUUUGCGCAGCAUAGGUGGGAGGCGUUGAGAGUAUUCUUGCGGGAAUAUUGGAGCCAUCAGUGAGAUACCACUCUUGUAAUGUUAGAUUUCUAACUUUGGAUCAUUAUCUGGUCAAAGAACAGUUUCAGGCGGGCAGUUUGACUGGGGCGGUCGCCUCCCAAAUGGUAACGGAGGCGUACAAAGGUUUCCUCUGAACGGGUAGAAAUCGUAUCUAGAGUGUAAAGGCAUAAGGAAGCUUGACUGCGAGACCUACAAGUCGAGCAGGGACGAAAGUCGGUCUUAGUGAUCUGACGGUGCUGAGUGGAAAGGCCGUCACUCAACGGAUAAAAGUUACUCUAGGAUAACAGGCUGAUCUCCCCCAAGAGUUCACAUCGACGGGGAGGUUUGGCACCUCGAUGUCGGCUCAUCGCAUCCUGGGGCGGUAGUACGUCCCAAGGGUUGGGCUGUUCGCCCAUGAAAGCGGUACGCGAGCUGGGUUCAGAACGUCGUGAGACAGUUCGGUCCAUAUCCGGUGUAGGCGUUAGAAUAUUGAGAGGAGCCUUCUUUAGUACGAGAGGACCGAGAAGGACAUACCUCUGGUGUACCAGUUAUCGUGCCAACGGUAAACGCUGGGUAGCUAUGUAUGGAGAGGAUAACCGCUGAAAGCAUCUAAGUGGGAAGCCCACCUCAAGAUAAGUAUUCUCAUC